rnacentral:hammerhead_ribozyme from 1 species
AUCCAGAUGACGAGUGCCGAAUAGGACGAAAUGCGCAUCCUGGAU